rnacentral:lncRNA from 1 species
UGAUCUAUACUCAGUUCCCACAAUCCUCUCUCUGUAUACAGAUGGCUUUCUUCAUCACAAGAUCAUUGGAACUGGCCGGAAUCAUCUCAUUGUCGAGAAGAGCCACAUCAUGAGAAUUAAUCAUCUUGUUGCUGUGUACAAUGAUCGCCUGGUUUUCCUUACUUCACUCAGCAUCAGUUCAUGACUGUAUCUCACCAGAAAUACAAGGAUUGAAUUGCCAGAACUUCAGCCAGCAGACAUUCUGGGUUUUUUACCAUGACACAGCAGCAGGAGAGAAUAGGAGGCAUAUUCAAAAAGAAAGAGGUUGGUAUUUU